AGUGAACGCUGGCGGUAUGCCUAACACAUGCAAGUCGAACGGCAGCACAGUAACUGCUUGCUCUAACGGGUUGCGAGUCGCGGACGGGUGACGAAUACAUCCGACUCUACUUUUUCGUGUGAGCUUACGUAGGGAAACCUACGCCCAUAUCGCACACGACCUUCGGUUGAAAGCAGGGGAUCUUUUGACCUUGCGCGAAUGAAUGAGCCGAUGUGGGAUUAGCUAGUUGGCGGGGUAACGGCCCACCCAGGCGGCGAUCCGUAGCUGGUCUGAUAGGAUGGUCACCCACACUGGAACUGAGACACCGUCCAGGCUCCUGAGGGAGGCAGCAGUGGGGAAUAUUGGACAAUAGGCGCAAGCCUGGUCCAGCCAGACCGAGUGGGUGGAGAAGGCCUUCGGGUUGUAAAGCCCUUUUGUUGGGAAAGAAAAGCAGCAGGUUAAUACCCCGCGGUUCUGACGGUACCCAAAGAAUAAGCACCGGCUAACUUCGUG
rnacentral:rRNA from 1 species